rnacentral:rRNA from 1 species
CUAUACAUGACUCUGCGCAUAUCAAUAAGCGGAGGAAAAGAAACUAACAAGGAUUCCCCUAGUAACGGCGAGUGAAGCGGGAAGAGCUCAGAUUUGAAAUCUUAAAGGGUUUCCCUUUACGAAUUGUAGUUUAAAGAAGUGUUUUCUGUUGGAGUUUCGGUAAAAGUUCUUUGGAAUAGGACAUCAUAGAGGGUGAGAAUCCCGUAUUUGAUCGUUACUUUCCAGCUGUGUGAUACACUUUCAAAGAGUCGGAUUGUUUGGGAAUGCAGUCCAAAAUGGGUGGUAAAUUUCAUCUAAAGCUAAAUAUUGGCGAGAGACCGAUAGCGAACAAGUACCGUGAGGGAAAGAUGAAAAGAACUUUGAAAAGAGAGUUAAACAGUACGUGAAAUUGUCAAAAGGGAAGCGUUUGACACCAGUGUUGUUUAGUUGAAUAUCAAUUCAAUAAUUUUUGAUUUUGAGUAGUAUUGACUUCAUCAGCUUGCUGCUUUCUUUUCAGGAAUUAUUGAAUGCACUUUUCAGUUAACAAGUCAACAUCAAUUUCUUUUGUUGUAAAAGGGUAAGAGGAAGGUGGCUUACGCUUCGGCGUAAGUGUUUAUAGCCUUUUACCUCUGCAAUCGGAGAGAUUGAGGACAGCAGCGUAGACUCUUCGGGGUUAGAUACACUUGUGCUAAGCUAUAGCCUUGUAUAGACAACUUGUUGACUAUGCUCAGUCAUGUAGCUUACUCGCUUGUGCUAUUUUACCUACGCUUAGGAUGUUGAUAGUCACAGCGUGUAC